rnacentral:rRNA from 1 species
CCUACGGGGGGCAGCAGUGGGGGAUAUUGCACAAUGGGGGAAACCCUGAUGCAGCGACGCCGCGUGUGGGAAGACGGUCCUCUGGAUUGUAAACCACUGUCCCCAGGGACGAAGAUGACGGUAUCUGGCGAGGAAGCUCCGGCUAACUACGUGCCAGCAGCUGCGGUAAUACGUAGGGAGCGAGGGUUGUCCGGAAUUAAUGGGUGUACAGGGAGCGUUGGCGGGGAUGCAAGUUGGGUGUCAAAACUACCGGCACAACUGGUAGUCGCACUCAAAACUGCAGCUCUUGAGUGAAGUAGAGGCAGGCGGAAUUCCUAGUGUAGCGGUGAAAUGCGUAGAUAUUAGGAGGAACACCAGUGGCGAAGGCGGCCUGCUGGGCUUUUACUGACGCUGAGGCUCGAAAGUGUGGGGAGCAAACAGGAUUAGAUACCCCAGUAGUC